rnacentral:snRNA from 1 species
GUGCUCACUUUGGCAGCACACAUACUAAAAUUGGAACGAUACAGAGAAGAUUAGCAUGGUCCCUGCGCAAGGAGGACAUGCAAAUUCGUGAAGCAUUCCAUAUUUUG